GGUAUUAUGCAGAGGACGGAAUCGAAUCAACGCAAAAAGAAGAGGCCGGUGGCAUCACGGGGGGGGGAGGGAGGAAAAAAUAAAAAAGACCGAGGGUCGAGGCAUGGCAAAUGCCGGUGACGAAAGAGAGCACAAGAUGAACACGAUAAGCCCACCAAAACAUCAAGAAAAAUGGAUAGACGGUAGAAGAAAGAGAAGGUUUGAAGCUGCUAAACUUAAGUUCCACUUUGAUAUUCCACGCACCGCACACCUACAAUUUCUUUCUGUACAUACAAAAACGAAGGGAGAGAGAGAGAGAGAACUGAAAAAGUGAAAGAAACAGAGAGAAGCAUGGCGAUGGAUGGUGGCGGAGGGAAGAGAGAUUCUUCCUAUCUAAUCUCUUUCUAUGCCUAGUCGGUGGUGGACGAAGAUCUAUCAAGAAA